AUUACCCAAUCGAAAUAUCUCCCUUGGCCAAGCCACAUCGCGGUAAUGCAAAUUUGACUGAAAGAUUUGAGCUGUGGCCGCGAAAUGGCAAAUGCAUUUUCUGAAUUGACUGAUCCCGUGGACCAGAGGACGCGGUUGGAAGAGCAAGUAAGGCAGCAUAACGCAAAGCGAGCAGCGGAAUCAUGACCAAACUUGUAUUCUCAAGUACUGAUAUCAGUUCACUGGUAUUGUUUGUUUGUUUCUCUUAAGGGGCUUGGAAUCGACAGGCUAGUGAUGCUGUUGACAAACUCCGCGAGUAUAAGAGACGUCAUUACGUUUCCUGUUCUGAAAAUUCAGCAGUAACACCUCAUGGUAAUGCUUGUUGUAGCUUUACCAUCUCUUGUGUAUCUUUGUUGAUUAUUUCUCCAUCAAGAAGUUGGAAGAAGCAGGUGUAACAAACACGUUUAUAUAGCAAAACAAAUCCAUUGAAUA